CCCUGUCAAGAUAUGGUGGCAUGCUCAGAAUCAUAAAUUACCCACAGCUAAUCUGACACAAAUAACUCAAGUAUAGAUCAUAAGAGGAAGAGUAUAAAAGUGAGCUCAACAGUUUGUUAAACGCUUGAACAUCUCCAAAGCA